UACGAGGGGUGCAAGCGUUGCUCGGAAUUAUUGGGCGUAAAGGGUUGGUAGGUGGUCUUGUUUGUCUAGGGUGAAAUCCCAUGGCUUAACUGUGGAAGUGCCCUAGAAACGGCAAGACUAGAGUCCUAGAGGGGGUUCGUGGAAUUCCGGUGUAGCGGUGAAAUGCGUAGAGAUCGGGAAGAACAUCGGUGGCGAAAAGCGCUCUGCUGGACUGCAACUGACACUCAGGGACGAAAGC
rnacentral:rRNA from 1 species